GUCGUUGCGAUGCCCUGCUCCCUGCAACAUAACGUCCCUCGAUUGAGUACAACAGUUGCAGUCCAGAACCCCUGCGUGCCGCUUCUCCACAGAGAGGAGAGGACAGGGAAACAGAAUGCCUUCGUGUGGGAGUAGAACGGGCAAUCUGUUGAAGGUAGCAGCGUUAGCACUGGCCGCAAUAAGUGCAAUGGCCUCUCUGUCUGAUCAUUUCAACGUACCCUCUCCUUCUGCUCAUGCUCAGGUGGAAAAAAUCAAUCGGUUUCGGAAGCACCGCAGCGGCGACGACGAGGUUGACUAGGCAUUGAACCUCUCGCCAAAUUUACAGUCUGCAUUUACAUGGAACACAAAGCAGGACAAUUAUUGGAAGCUAAAAACUGACUAUACUUCGCAUUCUGGGCGUAACUUUCUCGUUUGAGCUCCGAUCGAGACGAUUCAAAAUAUUGUGGAAAGCCAAGAAAGAGCUCCACAACUUUCGUGUUUGAAAUUUUGAGAGUUACGAGCUAUAGGAAGGUCAAAAUUGGGUUUGUACGCUGCGGAAAAAAAAGAAAAAAAACAAACAAGAAAAGAAAAAAAAAAAAAAAUGAAGAGGGCCGGGUCUUGAUAUGACUCGGCCAUGCAAGUGUGUUUUUGCUGGGCUUGUUGUGUGCGCUGGAAUGAAAGAGGGGCAGUAGGUGCUGGCAUUGAAAUAGGAAAAGUAAAAGAAAUGUGAGGGCAUGAAGGUUUUUCUCUUUGUAGCAGCCGAAUAUGAAACCCGAAAGAAUUCAAUUAAUCAGAUUUCCCUUUGGGAUGGGAUUAUACCAGCUAAGGAGUAUGCGGAGUUCUCGGUCCACAUCAAGAACAAGUAUAGUUUCACUGAUCAGGGAAAUAAUCUUUGGGGCAAAGAGUUCAACUUGACAUUGUUCUGGCAAGUCUUGCCCAAGACUGGAAGGUUGUUUGCUGACAAGAUUGUCAUGACAAGAUACUGCCUGCCAGAUAAAAAUCAAUGAGCUUGUAUUUAUGGAUUAAUUAGUGUCUCUGUUAUAGGACAGAUGAAGAUUAGAUCAAGCUAUUCUUCUUCUUCUGUCCUAAGGUUGGUUCAAAAGGAAAACAAUUUUGCAAUUUUGUGGGGAAGUUAGAACGCAUCAGCAUGGGAAGCCUUCUUUAAAUUCUGGUCUAUUGCUUGCGGGGUAUGCUGGAUUGCAUUGACACCCCUCAAGAUCCCUUUCACACGGGGUGGAAAAAGGGAAGGGAUUUUGAAGAUCUAACAAAAAUUUAGCAAGUUCUUUUCGAAUCUAGGUCGGCAGCAUUGGGAUGCAGUCAAAUGGAUCUUCAUGUACUUGAGGGGUACUACAGACUAUGACAUAAUGUUCAAUAGACAACAAAGUGAUCCUUCAGUGGUAGGAUAUGUGGAUGCUGACUAUGCAGGGGACUUGGAUGACAGAAGGUCUACCACAAGGUACGUAUUCACCCUUGUGGGAGGACCUAUCUGUUGGAGGUUCAUGGUGGAGUCACUUGUUACUUUAUCUACUACUGAAUCAGAGUAUAUGGUAGUGGCUGAAACUGCCAAGGAAGCAUUGUCGCUUACAAGAUUAGUUAAGGAGUUGGGUAUUCAGUAUGGUGAAGUUUGAUUGCAUUGUGAUGGUUAGAGUGUCAUCUAUUUGACGAAGAACCAAGUGUAUCAUGCGAAAACCAAACACAUAGAUGUGCGGUUUCACAGGAUCAGGAAAUUGGUUGCUUCUGGUGAACUACUACUUGAGAAAGUUCACACGUCUGAGAAUGCAGCAGAUAUGUUGACAAACUCUGUUACAACGGACAAGUUCAAGCAUUGCUUGGACUAGAUCAAUGUGUCCAUUUGUUAGAUGAGAGACGUCCCAACCUAUUGUCCAAAGUGGAGUUAUAGGUUAUGCUUACAGGUGGAACUGCAGAUUAUGCUUUCAUAUUUCUCCUAAGGGGUGAAUAUUCGUUAAGGUAGAGAUUGUUGGAAUUUUUGGUUCAUAUUGAAUGGAACGCAUGCAUAGGGAAAGCAUGGUGAGCAAAGAACAAGGAAGUUGAGAUGUAGGAAGAAAUCAUCAACGAUUUGGUCGACGGUUACAUCGACAAUUUACCCUUGAGAACCGUUGACGGUUUCAGUAUGUGCAGUUUACUCUCGGCAUUAAACCGUCGACAAUUUUGCUGAAAUCGUCGACGGUCUUGUUCGGCGUUGAUUUCGAAUUUUGAAUUGAGAAAAUGAGUAGGUUGGGAAUUUCAGAGGAUUUUCCUCUGGGGAUUGCUAUAUAGAUAUUUUAGGAACUUCCUAAGUCCUUUGUACGUGUAUGGUUAGCAUACAAACAAUAUUAUAACCCUUUUUUGAGAUUGAUAGUGAAAAUUCAAUUGUUUGCUCUCGUGGACAUAGGAACAUUGUUGAACCACGUAAUCUCUUAUGUCAUGGAUUAUUUGUUUUUCUCUAUUAUCUGUCUGUGAUUGUGUUUC